UCUUGGUCAUUAGAGGAAGUAAAAGUCGUAACAAGGUUUCCGUAGGUGAACCUGCGGAAGGAUCAUUACCUAGAGUUUGUAGACUUCGGUCUGCUACCUCUUACCCAUGUCUUUUGAGUACCUUCGUUUCCUCGGCGGGUCCGCCCGCCGAUUGGACAACAUUCAAACCCUUUGCAGUUGCAAUCAGCGUCUGAAAAAACAUAAUAGUUACAACUUUCAACAACGGAUCUCUUGGUUCUGGCAUCGAUGAAGAACGCAGCGAAAUGCGAUAAGUAGUGUGAAUUGCAGAAUUCAGUGAAUCAUCGAAUCUUUGAACGCACAUUGCGCCCCUUGGUAUUCCAUGGGGCAUGCCUGUUCGAGCGUCAUUUGUACCUUCAAGCUCUGCUUGGUGUUGGGUGUUUGUCUCGCCUCUGCGUGUAGACUCGCCUUAAAACAAUUGGCAGCCGGCGUAUUGAUUUCGGAGCGCAGUACAUCUCGCGCUUUGCACUCAUAACGACGACGUCCAAAAGUACAUUUUUACACUCUGACCUCGAUCAG
rnacentral:rRNA from 1 species